rnacentral:hammerhead_ribozyme from 1 species
AUCCGGCUGACAAGUCCAAAAGUAGGACGAAACGUGCGUCUUGGAU